rnacentral:rRNA from 1 species
GACGUAGGGCGCGAGCGUUUGUCCGGAUUUAUUGGGCGUAAAGAGCUCGUAGGCGGUCCGUCACGUCCGCUGUGAAAACCCAGGGCUCAACCCUGGGCUUGCAGUGGAUACGGGCAGACUAGAGGUAGGUAGGGGAGAAUGGAAUUCCCGGUGUAGCGGUGAAAUGCGCAGAUAUCGGGAGGAACACCGGUGGCGAAGGCGGUUCUCUGGGCCUUACCUGACGCUGAGGAGCGAAAGCGUGGGGAG